GGAGACUGCAAGGCUAGAAUCUGGCAGAGGGGGUCCACGUGUAGCAGUGAAAUGCGUAGAUAUGUGGAGGAAUACCGAUGGCGAAGGCAGCCCCCUGGGUCAAGAUUGACGCUCAUGCACGAAAGCGUGGGGAGCAAACAGGAUUAGAUACCCGGGUAGUCCACGCCCUAAACGAUGUCUACUAGUUGUCGGGUCUUAAUUGACUUGGUAACGCAGCUAACGCGUGAAGUAGACCGCCUGGGGAGUACGGUCGCAAGAUUAAAACACAAAGGAAUUGACGGGGACCCGCACAAGCGGUGGAUGAUGUGGAUUAAUUCGAUGCAACGCGAAUAACCUUUCCUACCCUUGACAUGGCUGGAAUCCCCGAGAGAUUGGGGAGUGCUCGAAAGAAAACCAGUACACAGGUGCUGCAUGGCUGUCGUCAGCUCGUGUCGUGAGAUGUUCGGUUAAGUCCCGC
rnacentral:rRNA from 1 species